rnacentral:tRNA from 1 species
AGGAGGAUAGUUCAAUGGUAGAAUUGUGGUCUCCAAAGCCAAAGGUUGUGGGUUCGAAUCCCUCUCUUCCUG